rfam:Triticum urartu cultivar G1812 contig651474, whole genome shotgun sequence.
AUCCUGGUGAAGAUUCUCAGACCAUAGGAAGUGCCGUAGGACACUGUAAACAACGGCUGCUUCUCUCCACUGCAAGUGUCCUCCUUCGCCCAUAACCUUUGUUGUUUGUGGGCUGGAAUUUCCAUUUGCAGCUGGUUUGGUUCAGCUGUGUGCGUGAUUUUAAGUGGGUCUCUGAGGGAU